AACACAGUCCAAAAAGAAAAAAGUUGUUGUUGAGCAUUCAUCUCCUGAAGAAGAUCAAUACUUUGAUGGGGAGAACGAAGCUGAUCUGCGAUCGACAGAAGGUUGCUAUGUCUCCUCUGAAACAAUACCGGCUGUGAACUUGGGAAGUGAUGAUCCUUCCUCUCAAGGAGGCACAGAACAAAGUAGUGUAAACAAGCCUGCAGAG